UACGAAGGGGGCUAGCGUUGCUCGGAAUUACUGGGCGUAAGGGCGCGUAGGCGGCACUGUUAGUCAGGCGUGAAAGUCCUGGGCUCAACCUGGGAACUGCGCUUGAUACGGCAGAGCUAGAGGAUGGAAGAGGCUCGCGGAAUUCCCAGUGUAGAGGUGAAAUUCGUAGAUAUUGGGAAGAACACCGGUGGCGAAGGCGGCGAGCUGGUCCAUUACUGACGCUGAGGCGCGACAGCGUGGGGAGCAAACAGG
rnacentral:rRNA from 1 species